rnacentral:hammerhead_ribozyme from 1 species
AUCCAGCUAACGAGUCCCAAACAGGAAGAAACGCGUCUUGGAU